rnacentral:rRNA from 1 species
GCUUGUCUCAAAGAUUAAGCCAUGCAUGUCUCAGUAUAAGCUUUUACACGGCGAAACUGCGAAUGGCUCAUUAAAACAGUUAUCGUUUCUUUGGUGGUUAUUGAUUACAUGGAUAACCGUGGUAAUUCUAGAGCUAAUACAUGCGCCCAGACCCAACUUUUAGGAAGGGUUGUAUUUAUUAGGUACAGAACCAACCCGGGCAACCGGUCCUUUGGUGAUUCAUGAUAACUUUGCGAAUCGCAUAGCUUUAAUGCUGGCGAUGGGUCAUUCAAAUUUCUGCCCUAUCAACUUUCGACGGUAGGAUAGAGGCCUACUGUGGUGAUAACGGGUAACGAAGAAUAAGGGUUCGAUUUCGGAGAGGGAGCCUGAGAAACGGCUACCACAUCCAAGGAAGGCAGCAGG